rnacentral:antisense_RNA from 1 species
UGUUAUGGUGGGUCUUUGUUGGGCCAGCUUCGGCUGGGCCGUACCUUUGGGCGGUUGUGAGAUCCUGAUUUAGACCCACCACCUUA